rnacentral:rRNA from 1 species
CGCUUCCAGUUCAACCCAUCGGAAGUCCGACCUGCCCAGUGAAAUCUUUCAACGGCCGCGGUACCCUGACCGUGCUAAGGUAGCAUAAUCCCUUGCCUUUUAAUUGAUGGCUAGUAUGAAUGGUCAGACGAGCGAAAUAUUGUCUCUAGUAAGCUCUCUAAAACCUAACCUUUAGGUGAAAAGGCCUAUACAAUCAAGUAGGACAAAAAGACCCUAUCGAGCUUUACAUAAGUCAGGCCCAAUAAGCCUGUUAUUUGUUUUGUUGGGGCAACAACGGAACAAACAAACCUUCCUAUACACCUAUCCUAAUUAAUUAAUAAACCAAUUUUAUUUACUACAACAAAAGCUACCGUAGGGAUAACAGACUAAUCUCCCCCGAGAGCUCACAUUGACGGGGAGGCUUGGCACCUCGAUGUUGGCUUAGGGUUUCAUUAAGAAGCAGCCUUCUUAAUCUGUAGGUUUGUUCAACCUUUAAUUACCCUA